GACGAACGCUGGCGGCGUGCUUAACACAUGCAAGUCGAACGGAAAGGCCCUGCUUUUGUGGGGUGCUCGAGUGGCGAACGGGUGAGUAACACGUGAGUAACCUGCCCUUGACUUUGGGAUAACUUCAGGAAACUGGGGCUAAUACCGGAUAGGAGCUCCUGCUGCAUGGUGGGGGUUGGAACGUUUCGGCGGUUGGGGAUGGACUCGCGGCUUAUCAGCUUGUUGGUGGGGUAGUGGCUUACCAAGGCUUUGACGGGUAGCCGGCCUGAGAGGGUGACCGGCCACAUUGGGACUGAGAUACGGCCCAGACUCCUACGGGAGGCAGCAGUGGGGAAUAUUGCACAAUGGGCGGAAGCCUGAUGCAGCAACGCCGCGUGCGGGAUGAAGGCCUUCGGGUUGUAAACCGCUUUCGCCUGUGACGAAGCGUGAGUGACGGUAAUGGGUAAAGAAGCACCGGCUAACUACGUG
rnacentral:rRNA from 1 species